rnacentral:rRNA from 1 species
UACGGAGGGGGCUAGCGUUGUUCGGAAUUACUGGGCGUAAAGCGCACGUAGGCGGCUUUGUAAGUUAGAGGUGAAAGCCCGGGGCUCAACUCCGGAAUUGCCUUUAAGACUGCAUCGCUAGAAUUGUGGAGAGGUAAGUGGAAUUCCGAGUGUAGAGGUGAAAUUCGUAGAUAUUCGGAAGAACACCAGUGGCGAAGGCGACUUUCUGGUCUGUAACUGACGCUGAGGCGCGAAAAGCGUGGGGGAGCAAACAGG